UUGAUCCUACGGGGCGCAGCAGUGAGGAAUAUUGGUCAAUGGUCGGGAGACUGAACCAGCCACGCCGCGUGAGGGAUGAAGGUACAGAGUAUCGUAAACCUCUUUUGUCAGGGAACAAAGGCGGGGACGUGUCCCCGGAUGAGUGUACCUGAAGAAAAAGCAUCGGCUAACUCCGUGCCAGCAGCCGCGGUAAUAAGGAGGAUGCGAGCGUUAUCCGGAUUUUUUGGGUUUAAAGGGUGGGC
rnacentral:rRNA from 1 species